rnacentral:tRNA from 1 species
GGAGAGGUGGGUGAGUGGCUGAAACCACCGGUUUGCUAAACCGACGUAGGGAGCAAUCUCUACCACGAGUUCGAAUCUCGUCCUCUCCGCCA